CGGCCGCCGUCUGCACCGCCUACCUCAUGCGCCACGGCGGCCACAGCCUGGAGCGCGCCUUCCAGAUGGUGAAGAGCGCUCGCCCGGUAGCCGAGCCCAAUCUGGGUUUCUGGGCUCAGCUGCAGAAGUAUGAGCAGACACUCCAGGCCCAGGCCCUCCUGCCCGGGGACCCGGCUGAGCCCGAGUAAGCCGCGCCGUUCAGCUGCUGGGGUGGCCAGACGUCUACACUGAAAGGUGUUCCUUCCCUCUUUUCACUAGGCAACGGGCCUGCCCCCUCUUGAUGGCAGUACAGGAGUGUCUGCUGAAGAGGGGAACUUCGUUUAUUCAUCAGACAGGAUCUCAGUAGCCCAAGCUGGCCUCACACACUCCACAUACAGCCAAAGAUGACCGUGAAUGUCUGAUGCUUUUGCCUCCCAGCUGCUGGAAUGCCAAGUGCUUCCCAUCCAAGCCGGGUCUUCCUCGCUCUAAUCCUUGCCUCUGGAUGACAGCCUGAGCCUUGGAGUUCUUCCCAUGUACUGCCCCCUCAGAGAGCACAUGAGGCCUGAGGGGCUACUGCUAACGGAAGUGUCAGGCUGCACAUGUGGCGGCUCCUCCACUUAGCUGUGCCUCUCUCCCUUGUGGAAGGAGGGCAGGGCCACCUGACUUCGUGACUUCCGUUUGGGGAGACUGGAUCCAGACAGCUGAGCACUCCCCAGAAGUGACACCGCAGUCACACCAUCAUCAGAGUAGGAGACAGCCCUAAAAGUUCCCCUCCCUCAGAAUCUGUGCCCGCCUCCUGCGGAUAGAGACAGAUAGCGGGACUCCUCUGUCCACACCCUGGGUUGGUCCUUUGAGUUCCCUUGCUGCGCUAGCCUAAAACGCUCCUGCAACCCUUAUAUUAGAUCUAUGAGACAGAACUGCGUUCAACAAUGUAUCUCUACUUCACACACGUCUCCACUGCAAUAAAGCCGACCCUAAAACGAGA